rnacentral:rRNA from 1 species
UACGUAGGGUGCAAGCGUUGUCCGGAAUUAUUGGGCGUAAAGAGCUCGUAGGCGGUUUGUCGACGUCUGCUGUGAAAAUCCAGGGCUUAACCCUGGACCUGCAGUGGGUACGGGCAGACUAGAGUGCGGUAGGGGAGAACGGAAUUCCUGGUGUAGCGGUGAAAUGCGCAGAUAGUCAGGAGGAACACCGGUGGCGAAGGCGGUUCUCUGGGCCUGUACUGACGCUGAGGAACGAAAGCGUGGGGAGCGAACAGG